rnacentral:rRNA from 1 species
CUUCUUGAAGAGAUGAGAAGUAGGGCCUGCCCACUGAAAGGUAUUGAAGGGCCGCGGUAUUUUGACCGUGCGAAGGUAGCAUAAUCAUUAGUCUUUUAAUUGGGGACUGGAAUGAAAGGUUUGACGAGAGAACAUCUGUCUCUUAAAUAUAGAUGGAAUUUCACUUUUGAAUUAAAAGGUUUAAAUGUGUGUUGGGGACGAGAAGACCCUAUAGAUCUUUAUUACUUGUUGUUAAUAAUUGAUUUGGGUGGGAUUAUUUUAUGGGGGAUAAGUGAUUUUGUUGGGGUGAUGUGAGAAUGGAGUUAACUUCUUAUUUAGAGUGCUUUGAUAGAUGGGUUUUUGAUCCUUUAAUAUGGAUAUAAGAUGAAGAUACCUUAGGGAUAACAGCGUUAUUUUAUUUGAGAGUUCUUAUCGAAAAUAAGGAUUGCGACCUCGAUGUUGGAUUAAGAUGGCAGUUUGGUGUAGUAGUUAAGCUGUGUUAGUCUGUUC